GUAAAUAUAGUUUAACUAAAACAUUAGAUUGUGAAUCUAACUACAGAGACUUACCACCUCUUAUUUACC
rnacentral:tRNA from 1 species